AUCGGAAAGCCUGCCCUAAAGACCACCCAAGAGGGGGGUUUUUUCACUCGGGAAAUGUUUCCUCUAACCCAAUCCUUGCUUCUGUAGUUUCAUCCUAUUUCUUUGUGGUUUUUAUUUCCCCAGAAAGAAUGAAGAAUAGCUGCCAGUGGUCCUACAAAUUUGAAGAUUUGAAGCCCAUUACAGUGUUGAAGAUGGUUUUCUUCCCGUUGCCAUCAUUUCAAGUUAGGGUGGAUUUGACUCCGAGAGGCUCAGAGCUGUAAACUCCUCCAGGGCAGGACCUGACUCUUCAGAAGAAUUUUUUAACCCCUGCACCCCCACCCCCCACCCUGGAGCUGCCCAGGUCAAGGCCCUGAUAGAGCAGACGUUCAAGAGCAAUGACUAACUGCAGUUGAAAGCCCAGAAGAUACAACAAGCAAAAUCCUGCAUGUAAGAACUUUGCUCCAGACUAAGAUGUAAUCCAGUCAUUCCCUUUUCAUAAGACAAGUGUUGUCUGAAGGGGUCUGCAUGUGAUUUUGAGGCGAAAGGGCAGACAGAGCAGCAGAACUCAGGUCCCACUUUGCCCUGUAUCUGGAGCCUAUGAAAGGGGAAAGGAAGUGAGCCAUCUCGAUUCCCCAAGA
rnacentral:lncRNA from 1 species